UACGCCUCAUGGUGUACUGGGGUACUUCAGGGUGUUAAAAUAUCCAUAUCUACGGAUAUGAACGUAGAUAACUUAUAUUAUCCCCGGCUUAGUAUAUAUCUAGGAUUUUGAUUGGUUAACGCACGUCGUUACAAAACCCAUAGCCCCUGGGUGUUGCUAACCCAUAUCCCCGGACGUUGCUAACCAUUAUCCCGGGGAACUUCACGCAAGUUUUCCUUAGUUCCAUGAUUGCUCCUUGUGAAAUAUUAAAUUCUGUAGAUUAUCCAUGAUGUUUG
rnacentral:lncRNA from 1 species